CCGACCUUAGCUCAGUUGGUAGAGUGGAGGACUGUAGAUCCUUAGGUCGCUGGUUCGAAUCCGGCAGGUCGGA
rnacentral:tRNA from 3 species